UACAGAGACCUCAAGCGUUAUCCGGAAUCAUUGGGCGUAAAGCGUACCGAUAGGUGGUUUAUUAAGUUUUGGGGUAAAAGCCAGAAGCUCAACUUCUGCGUUUGCUCAAGAUACUGAUAGACUAGAGGGACAAAGAGGUGGCUGGAACGAAAUGGUGUAGUAGUGAAAUGCGUUGAUAUCAUUCGGGAACACCGAAAGCGAAGGCAGGCCAC
rnacentral:rRNA from 1 species